AUUGAACGCUGGCGGCAUGCUUUACACAUGCAAGUCGAACGGUAACAGGUCUUUCGGGAUGCUGACGAGUGGCGAACGGGUGAGUAAUGUAUCGGAACGUGCCCAGUAGUGGGGGAUAACUACUCGAAAGAGUGGCUAAUACCGCAUGAGAUCUCUGGAUGAAAGCGGGGGACCGUAAGGCCUCGCGCUACUGGAGCGGCCGAUAUCAGAUUAGGUUGUUGGUGAGGUAAAGGCUCACCAAGCCGACGAUCUGUAGCUGGUCUGAGAGGACGACCAGCCACACUGGGACUGAGACACGGCCCAGACUCCUACGGGAGGCAGCAGUGGGGAAUUUUGGACAAUGGGCGCAAGCCUGAUCCAGCAAUGCCGCGUGCAGGACGAAGGCCUCGGUUGUAAACUGCUUUGUACGGAACGAAAGACCUCUUCUAAUACAGGAGGUCAUGACGGUACCGUAAGAAUAAG
rnacentral:rRNA from 1 species